CAAGCAUGACCCUCCAUUCACUGCGCAGUUGUGCCCUCCAUUCUACUCACAGAAAUCCUCGGAAGUUUUGCGCUCCUCCCCAUUGGAUACUCGCAACUGCACCGGAGCCGAAGGAUUGAUGAGAAGUACCGGCACACCCGUGGAUUGUAUAAUUUGGAGAUCAACGAUGGCCAGCCACACUCUCUAGACUUGCAGAACGAUUCGAGCUUCAUAGUCCCGACUCGCUACAACGUGGUGUACAUAACCUUAAAAACUAAGCGUCGAAAACCAGCACAUAUAAGAGGUACAAUCCGACCCAAAGUGAGGAGAAAAGUGAGAAAAAAUAAGUCUUCCAAUCUGUCUUUUACCCAGGACAAACGUCGCACUUUGGAGGGGGAUGCGUUACAAAUUAAGCGCAACUUUGCACCCAUAACUUCACGGAAGGAAGCCAUGGAUGUUGACUAUAAAUCACUGGAUAUAAGCCAUAAAAUUUAUAAACAUGAAGAAGCAGACUCUCAGAUUAGUUCAAUUCGAAUAUACAGUCAAAGGCCGCCACCAUGGUUCAGCGCACAGGAUGUGAAAACCAUGCGCUUUCUUGCGGAUGCCAAAGUUUUGCGCAUGAAAGAAGUCUCUCAUGGAUACGCUCUUUCGCUUCUGAUAUUUGAGGGUGAGACAAACGUUCAACAGGCGAACCAACAGCACGCAAAAACGAGCACUGUAUGCGGAGGGCAAUGUGGAGUCAUCCACAGCCCGGUGGAUACCACAGAGGUUUUUGCUUUUCAUUUGGACAGAGUGCUGGGGCUUAAUAGGACGUUGCCAGCUGUAAGCAGAAAGUUUCGCUUUUUAUACGAUGGGCAGUCCUGUCCAGUUGUGUCAUGGGAUGCAUCUCUAUACCCAGCAGGCCUUGCUGCAGGUUUGACCAGUUUGAAGUUAA